UCCUGGCUCAGAUUGAACGCUGGCGGCAGGCCUAACACAUGCAAGUCGAACGGUAGCACAGAGAGCUUGCUCUCGGGUGACGAGUGGCGGACGGGUGAGUAAUGUCUGGGAAACUGCCCGAUGGAGGGGGAUAACUACUGGAAACGGUAGCUAAUACCGCAUAACGUCUUCGGACCAAAGUGGGGGACCUUCGGGCCUCACACCAUCGGAUGUGCCCAGAUGGGAUUAGCUAGUAGGUGGGGUAAUGGCUCACCUAGGCGACGAUCCCUAGCUGGUCUGAGAGGAUGACCAGCCACACUGGAACUGAGACACGGUCCAGACUCCUACGGGAGGCAGCAGUGGGGAAUAUUGCACAAUGGGCGCAAGCCUGAUGCAGCCAUGCCGCGUGUAUGAAGAAGGCCUUCGGGUUGUAAAGUACUUUCAGCGGGGAGGAAGGCGAU
rnacentral:rRNA from 1 species